AAUUAAAAUUGUCUCUAAGGGCUUUAGAGAGCCCAGAGCUUGAACGCUCACUCCACUCGACUCCACCAUACCCCACACUCACUCCACUCCACCAUACCCCACUCUCACUCUCACUCCACACCACACACACUCCACCCCACACUCACUCUCACUUCACUCCACUCCACCAUACCCCACACUCACUCUCACUCCACUCCACUCCACUCCACUCCACCCCACACUCACUCCACUCCACUCCACUCCACUCCACUCCACCCCACACUCACUCCACUCCACUCCACUCCACUCCACUCCACUCCACUCCACUCCACACACACUCACUCUCACUCCACUCCACUCCACUCCACUCCACUCCACUCCACUCCACUCCACACUCACUCUCACUCCACUCCACUCCACUCCACUCCACUCCACUCCACUCCACUCCACUCCACACACACACACACUCACUCUCACUCCACUCCACUCCACUCCACUCCACUCCACUCCACACACACACUCCACUCCACUCCACUCCACUCCACUCCACUCCACUCCACUCCACACACACUCACUCUCACUCCACUCCACUCCACUCCACUCCACUCCACUCCACUCCACUCCACUCCACACACACUCACUCUCACUCUCACUCCACUCCACUCCACUCCACUACACACACACACACACACACACACACACUCCACCCCACUCCACUCCACUCCACUCCACUCCACUCCACUCCACUCAACUCCACACUCACUCUCACUCCACUCCACACACACUCACUCCACUCCACUCCACUCCACUCCACUCCACUCCACUCCACUCCACUCCACUCCACUACACUCACUCUCACUCCACUCCAGUCCACUCUCACUCCACACACACUCACUCUCACUCUCACUCCACUCCACUCCACUCCACACACACCCCACUCCACUCCACUCCACACACACUCCACUCCACUCCACACACACCCCACUCCACUCCACUCCACUCCACUCCACUCCACUCCACACACACUCACUCCACUCCACUCCACUACACUCACUCUCACUCCACUCCACUCCACUCCACUCCACACACACUCACUCCACUCCACUCCACUCCACUCCACUCCACUCCACUCCACUACACUCACUCCACUCCACUCCACACACACUCCACUCCACUCCACUCCACACACACUCCACUCCACACACUCUCACUCCACUCCACUCCACUCCACUCCACACACACUCACUCCACUCCACACACACUCUCACUCCACUCCACUCGACUCCACUCCACUCCACACACACUCACUCUCACUCCACUCGACUCCACUCCACUCCACACACACUCACUCCACUCCACACACACUCUCACUCCACUCACUCCACUCCACUCCACUCCACCCCACUCCACUCCACACACACACACACUCACUCUCACUCCACUACACCCCACUCUCACUCUCACUCUCACUCUCACUCUCACUCCACUCCACUCCACUCCACUCCACUCCACACACACUCACUCUCACUCCACUCCACUCCACUCCACCAUACCCCACACUCACUCUCACUUCCUGAAGCUCCAUCUCCUCUCAUGAUUGAUCCAUCAACAAACAAGUCUUCAGUCAGUCUAUGUGCUGUAGCCACCCAUCAUAAACAACAGGUCAUGUUAGCCUGACAGAAAGUAACUAGCUUCUUCAGUUGCAACAGACAACAGCCUAUAA
ensembl:lncRNA